AUGCACCAUAUAUAUUCUCUCCUGCCACUGCGAGAUGCUGCUCGUGCCGCCUGCGUCUCCCAUGGAUUUCUGCUUUUCUGGAGAUGCUAUUCCAACCUUACAUUCAACGUGUCAACACUUGGGUUGGCUCGCAAGAAAUCCGAGGAUUGGGGAAUCUUUCUCAUCGAUAUAGUUGACUGCAUUCUUAGGAACCAUUCUGGGAAUGGGGUGGAGACACUCGAUCUGUGCCUCCUAUCUUGCGAAAAUAUUGACCCUUCCUACCUGGACAGAUGGCUGCAGAUUGCUGUUCGUUUGGGGAUCAAAGAACUUAAGUUGGAGAUGACUAACUUCAUGAAGAAAAAGUACAGCUUCCCAUGUUCGGUUCUGUCUGAUGAUGCAGCUGCAAGUUCGAUUCGGUCUCUUUGCCUCAGCGCUUGCGUCUUUCGUCCCACAACAACACUUGGCUGCUUGAGAAGACUGAACGCAUUAUCCCUGUUUUCUGUCCAGAUUACUGAUGAGGGAUUAGGGCACUUGCUCUCGAAAUCUUUCGCCUUGCAGCAGUUAUUUAUCUUCGGAUGCAAUGCGAUAACAUGCGUGAAGAUACCUUCCAUGCUGCAGCAACUCAAGCUCCUCACUAUUAAAUUGUGUGAGAAGCUGCAGGUGGUAGAGAUCAAUGCUCCAAGGCUCUCCUCUUUUCACUUUGAUGGAGCGCUAGUAAAAAUCUCGGUUGUGGAUCCUUCACCGCUUAGGGAUGUCUAUUUUUCAUCUCCCCGUCAGUCCCGCAUGCUGUCUUAUGCUCGUACGAGGCUUCCAUCCAUCACACGAAAUGUUAGGUGCCUGACCCUGGUGUCUUCUGAUGAGGUAUGCAUUGGGUUUUUACAGGUUAUUCUGUAUAAACAUAUAAAGUGGAUGGUUAUGAUACAAUAG
rnacentral:rRNA from 1 species